GAUGAAGAACGUAGCGAAAUGCGAUAAGUAAUGUGAAUUGCAGAAUUCAGUGAAUCAUCGAAUCUUUGAACGCACAUUGCGCCCCCUGGUAUUCCGGGGGGCAUGCCUGUCCGAGCGUCGUUACAACCCUCAAGCUCAGCUUGGUAUUGGGCCCCGCCGCUCCGGCGGGCCCUAAAGUCAGUGGCGGUGCCGUCCGGCUCCGAGCGUAGUAAUUCUUCUCGCUCUGGAGGUCCGGUCGUGUGCUCGCCAGCAACCCCCAAUUUUUUUCAGGUUGACCUCGGAUCAGGUAGGGAUACCCGCUGAACUUAAGCAUAUCAAUAAGCGGAGGA
rnacentral:misc_RNA from 1 species